ensembl:lncRNA
GGAUGGUCAAAGGACUGACCUGGGGCCUGUUGGUUGCUGAGACCAGCGGCUCCUCAGCUGAGAUGUUCUUUUUACCGCAACGCCAUCUCCUUUAUUAAAUACAUUUGAUUUGAACCUUUCGAUCAGCGAUGACCUCUGUCCGUCCGGCGUUUCUUCAUUUUUGAACACAACAGCAAUGAAAAAAAAGUGUCAACAUCAAUGCUUUUCAUUACUCAUCAGUUUGUGGGCUAUCUGGAAUCUGGAGGAGCACGGACUCCUUCCUGGUCAAUGGGGUGGCAGAGGGCGAGGCAGAAGGUCAACUCUCUCAGAGGCAUCUCGGUGUCGAGGAACAAAAAAAUGCAGAGCUGAUUGUGAUUUGCCGCCAUGGGGGUGUAUUCAUAUUCAGUGAACUGCGAACAGGUGCGUGUGUCAGAAGGGAGCGCGAGAUUCAGUGAAUUACGAACAGGGUGAGUGAUGGUUUCAAUAAUUUUAAUAUUUUCUGGUAUAUCUAAGUUAAGUUACCCAGGAGCUUUGUUGACAUAGACUUAGCUAACGUUAGCUACAGCUUGAUGAAUUGAGUCAUUUAACACAGCAGGAGAGAACGCGACGUUGGCCAGCUAGCUGAAGCUCUGGUGGAAAAUGAUUAGCUAACGCUACCGUUUUUGAGGAGGUAGAUUUUGAGGUGAGGGGACUGACAAGGCAGAAGGUAAAGUGGUCCACCGUUCUCUCAAUGAGCAGACCUGCCAACCUGAUGCUGGUACGAUUUGUCACUCUAAACUACGCAAAAAUGUGUCUAAAAUUAAUUUACCAGCACACAUUAUAUGCAAUGCAAUAUAAUGCAUGACGAGUAUUUAACCGACCUCGUCACAAAAAAUGAUCCCUGGGACAAAACCAGUUGAAAACCCCUGCCCUAGAGGGGUAAUAUCCUUCUCACCUUUUCCACCCUU